rnacentral:rRNA from 1 species
AGAGUUUGAUCCUGGCUCAGGACGAACGCUGGCGGCGUGCUUAACACAUGCAAGUCACGGGGGCCCGCAAGGGUAACCGGCGAACGGGUGCGUAACACGUGAGCAAUCUGCCGUCCACUGGGGGAUAGCCGGCCCAACGGCCGGGUAAUACCGCAUACGCUUGCCGGGUGGCAUCACUUGGCAAGGAAACCUCCGGGGGUGGACGAGGAGCUCGCGGCCUAUCAGCUAGUUGGUGGGGUCACGGCCCACCAAGGCGAUGACGGGUAGCUGGUCUGAGAGGAUGGCCAGCCACAUUGGGACUGAGAUACGGCCCAGACUCCUACGGGAGGCAGCAGUGGGGAAUAUUGCGCAAUGGCCGCAAGGCUGACGCAGCGACGCCGCGUGGGGGAUGAAGCAUUUCGGUGUGUAAACCCCUGUUGCCCGGGACGAACCUCCCCUUUCGAGGGGACUGACGGUACCGGGUGAGGAAGCACCGGCUAACUCCGUGCCAGCAGCCGCGGUAAUACGGAGGGUGCGAGCGUUGUCCGGAAUCACUGGGCGUAAAGGGCGCGUAGGCGGUGACUUAAGCGUGUGGUGAAAGCCCGGGGCUCAACCCCGGGUCGGCCGUGCGAACUGUGUCACUCUAGCACUGUAGAGGCAGGUGGAAUUCCGGGUGUAGCGAUGGAAUGCGUAGAGAUCCGGAAGAUCACCAGUGGCGAACGCGGCCUGCUGGGCAGUAGCUGACGCUGAGGCGCGACAGCGUGGGGAGUAAACAGGAUUAGAUACCCUGGUAGUCCACGCCGUAAACGAUGGGCACUACG